CGACCUCAGAUCAGACGUGGCGACCCGCUGAAUUUAAGCAUAUUAGUCAGCGGAGGAAAAGAAACUAACGAGGAUUCCCUCAGUAACGGCGAGUGAAGAGGGAAGAGCCCAGCGCCGAAUCCCCGCCCCGCGGUGGGGCGCGGGACAUGUGGCGUACAGAAGCCCCCCUCCCCGGCGGCGCUCUCGGGGGACCCAAGUCCUUGUGAUCGAGGCCGCAGCCCGCGGACGGUGUGAGGCCGGUAGCGGCCCCCC
rnacentral:ncRNA from 1 species